AGUUUGAUCCUGGCUCAGGAUGAACGCUAGCGGCAGGCUUAAUACAUGCAAGUCGUGGGGCAGCGCAGGUAGCAAUACUGGGCGGCGACCGGCAAACGGGUGCGGAACACGUACACAACCUUCCUACAAGUGGGGGAAUAGCCCAGAGAAAUUUGGAUUAAUACCCCGUAACAUAACGAUGUGGCAUCACAUUGUUAUUAUAGCUUCGGCGCUUGUUGAUGGGUGUGCGGCUGAUUAGAUAGUUGGCGGGGUAACGGCCCACCAAGUCUACGAUCAGUAGCUGAUGUGAGAGCAUGAUCAGCCACACGGGCACUGAGACACGGGCCCGACUCCUACGGGGAGGCAGCAGUAAGGAAUAUUGGUCAAUGGACGAAAGUCUGAACCAGCCAUGCCGCGUGAAGGAUUAAGGUCCUCUGGAUUGUAAACUUCUUUUUAUCUGGGACGAAAAAAGGCGAUUCUUCGUCACUUGACGGUACCAGAUGAAUAAGCACCGGCUAACUCCGUG
rnacentral:rRNA from 1 species